GGGGCCGACCUGGCUUCGACGCGGGUGCGGAGUUGGAACAGGGCAUGCCGAGCACCAGUUCGCUCGUAAAUCCACUGGAAACAAAGUAACUGCGAACGAUCAAACGUACGCUCUCGCCGCUUAAAACCGGCGAGCCUCGCAACAGUUGGCCGAUGGGCUGGGCCUGAGGGGUAACCUGAAGGCUGCGAGGUCAUUCACAUGGGCUCGUUCCCGGUUGGGUCACUCAGCCGGGAAUCAAAUCAAGUGACUCGGGACAGGGGUAGCGUGCUGCUGCGCGACCCACGGCCUUAAAAACAAAUCAGUCAGCUACGCAUGUAGAUCUGCCCGAUGAUGGCCAGCGGACGGGGGUUCGAUUCCCCCCGGCUCCACCA
rnacentral:tmRNA from 1 species